UACGUAGGGUGCAAGCGUUGUCCGGAAUUAUUGGGCGUAAAGAGCUCGUAGGCGGUUUGUCGCGUCUGCUGUGAAAACUCGGGGCUUAACUCCGGGCCUGCAGUGGGUACGGCAGGACUAGAGUGCGGUAGGGGAGAGCUGGAAUUCCUGGUGUAGCGGUGAAAUGCGCAGGAUAAUCAGGAGGAACACCGGUGGCGAAGGCGGGUCUCUGGGCCGUAACUGGACGCUGGAGGAGCGAAAGCGUGGGGAGCGAACAGGA
rnacentral:rRNA from 1 species